AUGUCCGUUCUUUUUGGGUUGCUUCCGAAAGAAGUUCUCCCUCCCGAACGGUCUUCUCACCACCGUCGGAUUUCUCGUCUCAGCCAACUCCGACCUCCCUCCUCCCUUGCCGCCGGACUUCCGUUUUCUCACCACCGCCGGACUGUUCUUCCUAUCUCAACUCCGCAGCUCCCUCCGUCUAUAAUCUCUCUCCAUCUGCAGCUCCCUUCGUCUGCAUUCUCUCUCGGUCCGCAGCUCCCUCCGUCAGUAACCUCUCUCCGUCUGCAACUUCCAUGCGUCUGCAACCUCCUUCCUCCGUGUCUUGCUUCCUCUCAGCCGGUACACUCAGCUCCGGUUAACCUCGACUCUUCCUCUUCAUAUACUUCAAGCGUCUUCAGGAGGUAUUGUUAUAAUUUCCUUUGGUUUUCUGUUGAAUCUUGA